GAUGAACGCUGGCGGCGUGCCUAAUACAUGCAAGUCGAGCGAACGGACGAGAAGCUUGCUUUUCUGAUGUUAGCGGCGGACGGGUGAGUAACACGUGGAUAACCUACCUAUAAGACUGGGAUAACUUCGGGAAACCGGAGCUAAUACCGGAUAAUAUUUUGAACCGCAUGGUUCAAAAGUGAAAGACGGUCUUGCUGUCACUUAUAGAUGGAUCCGCGCUGCAUUGGCUAGUUGGUAAGGUAACGGCUUACCAAGGCAACGAUGCAUAGCCGACCUGAUAGGGUGAUCGGCCACACUGGAACUGAGACACGGUCCAGACUCCUACGGGAGGCAGCAGUAGGGAAUCUUCCGCAAUGGGCGAAAGCCUGACGGAGCAACGCCGCGUGAGUGAUGAAGGUCUUCGGAUCGUAAAACUCUGUUAUUAGGGAAGAACAUAUGUGUAAGUAACUGUGCACAUCUUGACGGUACCUAAUCAGAAAGCCACGGCUAACUACGUG
rnacentral:rRNA from 1 species